GCUCAGCCUACAAAUUUUCUAGCUGUGUCUCCAUGCAUUUAGUUUUAACAAUACAAGAGCUCCUUGCAAACUACUGAGAAGGGAUGUUUCAUUAUAUUAAUUUCUUCAGUAUAAGGCAUAGCCCUUUUGUUUGAUGAAGCAAAAUAGUUGUCCAUCUGACUUGAAGAAAUUCCCUGUCUGUGAACGUCAGUGAUUUAUAUUCUGCAGAAGUCACGGUGGAAGCUAUUAAUGAACACCAUGUCUCAUGACUGGGCCUGCUUGAUGAUGUUCUUCAGAAGGGGUAAUUUCAUGAAAAGAGAGACACUAUUCUUAAAGGAGUCUGGAAAGCUUGCUGUGACGUUAUUAAAAAUACUCUAUUUUUACCUUGAAGAUCAAGUUGGAACAGCUCCAGCGAACCUGGGACAAGGAUGUCAAAAUGUCUCUGCUGCUGGUUGUCAUCAGUGAUAUGGAUACAUUUUCAUCAGUGUACCCAUCCUCCAUUCUCAUCUCAUCUGAAAUGUCAGUUUUUGUCACUUCACC
rnacentral:lncRNA from 1 species